GCCCGGGUGGCUCAGUCGGUUAAGCAUCUGACUUCGGCUCAGGUCAUGAUCUCACAGGUUCGUGAGCUCGAGCCCCACACUGGGCU
rfam:Felis catus isolate Cinnamon breed Abyssinian chromosome B2, whole genome shotgun sequence.